rnacentral:lncRNA from 1 species
GUACCCCUCGAACCUAUUUUAUUCCUCUUCUCCCCUGUCCGGCCUUAAAUCCCAAGAAACCUCGAAUAACUAGAACCCGUCGAUUCCAAAUAACCAUCUCAAGUUUUCUGAAAUUCGAUACGUUUUCAAUACAUUAAGAGAGAGAAAGUUAUGGUGAAGAAGCCUUCUAACUUUUUGUUCUUCUUCAAGAGGCUAAACAAGAAAGCGAGCGGUGGCGAAGGCCGAGACGUUGGCAGUAGUGGUGGUUCAAGCAGGUGGAAGUUCAAGAGCUCCACCGGGUUGCGGUGGAAGACCCGGUUCAGCUUGCGUCUUUUGUUCGUGGAUAAUAUUCUUUUCAAGAUUGUGUCCAUUUUUGAAGCCAUAAUUCUGGUUGCAACUCUCUGUUUCUUCUUUCUCUGCUGCGGGUGCCACUUCUGAUCAUUUUCUUGAUAAUCUACUUGUAAGCAUCCUUAUUGCUUAUUUUAUAAUCUUGAAUUUUAACAUGUAAGGAUGUUUUUAAUUUUAUGGGCCAAUAAAAAUCGAAUGUCAAUGGUAGUGUAAAGAAUAAUUCUUUCGACUUGGCUACUUCAUUUUUUUUUUGUUAAUUAGUCUAAUGUUUUAAUUUUCAUUAUUCUUGUUAAUGUUUGUGUUCACUUCCCUGUAGAUUCAAUAUUUAGUGAUGUAAAGAAUCUAAUUUAACUAAAACAAAUUUUGGAAAAUUUUCCAAGGCAAAUCUCCUCCGUCCCAUCUCUCGGCCAUGACUCUACAUGCUUAAGAAGAAAUAUCAAGGUUACAUCAAUGAAUGAUGAAACAAUGCUCGUUUUUGAUAUAUACAGAGUACUUCGAAUAUAGUUUGUGACAGACAGCCGAGUGCGUGGUUAAAAAAUAAGAAAAAGUAUUUUAUUUGCCUGUAAUAUUAUUUUAUUGAAAAAUGUGUGGUUGAAAUGAUAUCAAAUCAUUAUUCAGGAAUAUAUUAUUUUUAAAGAACUUGAGUCAAAUUGGACUUUAAUUAAUAUUAAUAUAGGGGGUUUAAUAUUGGCAAUAAAUGGAAGUGAGUUAUAAUUAGCAAGCUUUGUUUAGUGGUAAGUGCUAUGUAUACACUCCCUCAUAUGGAUGGGGCUCACAUAAUAAAAUAUUCGUG